UGCAGAAUCCCGUGAACCAUCGAGUCUUUGAACGCAAGUUGCGCCCGAGGGACCCUCCCGAGGGCACGCCUGCCUCAUGGGCGUUAGAAGCCCAUCCACGCUCGGUUGCCUAACGGCAAAGAUGCGGACAUUGGCCCUCCGAACCGCGAGGCACGGUGGGCCUAAGUGUGCGGCCGUCGUAUGCGGCCGGGAGCGGCGAGUGGUGGGCUACUGCGCACGUCACCCCGAGCCCCGUACCGACGCAGGGCCUUUUUUGACCCCUAACGAGGAGCCUGCCGUUGCAGCCUGCGCUGCGCGGCGCCUUCGGACCGAUACCCCAGGUCAGGCGGGGCUACCCGCUGAGUUUAAGCAUAUAAAUAAGCGGAGGAGAAGAAACUUACAAGGAUUCCCCUAGUAACGGCGAGCGAACCGGGAGCAGCCCA
rnacentral:rRNA from 1 species